rnacentral:rRNA from 1 species
UACGUAGGGGGCAAGCGUUGUCCGGAAUCAUUGGGCGUAAAGAGCGUGUAGGCGGCUCGGUAAGUCCGCUGUGAAAGUCCAGGGCUCAACCCUGGAAUGCCGGUGGAAACUGUCAAGCUCGAGUCCGGAAGAGGCGAGUGGAAUUCCUGGUGUAGCGGUGAAAUGCGCAGAUAUCAGGAGGAACACCAAUGGCGAAGGCAGCUCGCUGGGACGUGACUGACGCUGAGACGCGAAAGCGUGGGGAGCAAACAGG